rnacentral:rRNA from 1 species
AGCAGCCGCGGUAAUUCCAGCUCCAAUAGCGUAUAUUAAAGUUGUUGCAGUUAAAAAGCUCGUAGUUGAAUUUCGGGAUCAAGUCGUCGGUCGUGCUUAGGUACGUACUGGCGUCAUUGAUUUCUCCCUUCUGACGAACCAUGAUGUCAUUAAUUUGGUGUUAUGGGAAAUCAGGACUGUUACUUUGAAAAAAUUAGAGUGUUUAAAGCAGGCUCACGCUUGAAUACAUUAGCAUGGAAUAAUGAAAUAGGACGUUCGAUCCUAUUUUGUUGGUUUUAGGAUCAACGUAAUGAUUAAUAGGGAUAGUUGGGGGCAUUAGUAUUCAAUUGUCAGAGGUGAAAUUCUUGGAUUUAUUGAAGACUAACUACUGCGAAAGCAUUUGCCAAGGAUGUUUUCAUUAAUCAAGAACAAAAGUUAGGGGAUCGAAGACGAUCAGAUACCGUCGUAGUCUUAACCAUAAACUAUGCCGACUAGGGAUCGGAUGAUGUUAAUUUUUAAUGACUCAGUUCGGCGCCUUAAC